CUUGUCUAACUGCCGAAGACAGCAGGUGCCGUAAGGCAUAAGGAGUAAACGCCUGCCGAGGAAAAAGUAUUCUAAAACCCGGAAAGCUUACAGGGCUUUUGGGGAAAUAUAGAAAAGGCUUUUGAACCUCUCUGUCUGCGGAUAGAGAGGUUUUCUUUUGG
rnacentral:sRNA from 1 species